rnacentral:rRNA from 1 species
UACAGAGGGGGCAAGCGUUGUUCGGAAUUACUGGGCGUAAAGGGUGCGUAGGCGGCGCGGUAAGUCGGGUGUGAAAUCUCGGAGCUUAACUCCGAAACUGCAUUCGAUACUGCCGUGCUUGAGGACUGGAGAGGAGACUGGAAUUUACGGUGUAGCGGUGAAAUGCGUAGAUAUCGAGAGGAACACCAGUGGCGAAGGCGAGUCCCUGGACAACUCCUGACACUGAGGCACGAAAGCUAGGGGAGCAAACAGG